rnacentral:rRNA from 1 species
GACAGAGGGUGCAAACGUUGUUCGGAAUUACUGGGCGUAAAGCGCGUGUAGGCGGCUAUGCAAGUCGGAUGUGAAAACCCUCGGCUCAACCGGGGAAGUGCACCCGAAACUGCAAAGCUAGAGUCUCGGAGAGGAUCGUGGAAUUCUCGGUGUAGAAAUGAAAUUCAUAGAUAUCGAGAGGAACACCAGUGGCGAAGGCGACUUCCUGGCCUGUUCUUGACGCUGAGGCGCGAAAGCUAGGGUAGCAAACGGG